GUGGUAUAUAAACACAGUAAUCACUUACACACAUAUUGUAUUUACCCGACAAUAGAAAGUGAUUCACAUUUAUUAAGCCGUCGUAAACAGUAUUUGUACUAACAGAAACAGUCACUGCCAAAUAAUCAAGGAUUACUGGUGCGAGUGAUUCAUUUAGAAAAUUAUCAAUAUAUACUACUGUUCGAUAAGUUGUAUCAUUUGAGACGAGAAUUUGAAGAUGGUAUUUAAUAGGGAUGCAGAAAUCAAAAUAUUCCGAGGAAUCAUCUGUACGACAAACAGUGAAGGGCUUAGAAGUUAAAAAAGGCAGUCUUCACAUGGUCCAGUUCCGUAGUGGACACCUUGUAAAGUUACCGGUAUUAGUACAAGUGUAUAAAAACUGUUUUGAACAUUAUGCUGUUAUUUACAGAGACGCUAAAUAUACAAGUUCAGCUGUAUAUCUCAGUCUGAAGAAUUGUAAAGUGUUCAAAAGUGAUAAUGAUAAUAACGAGAUAAUGUUGGUCCAGAAUGAUAUAGAUGGAAGUAGUUUAACCCUACAGGUCAACAGUAAGAAAGAUGUAAAUGAUUGGAUUUCAGCGCUGCAAUCAGAAAGUUUAUCAACGAAAGGGUCUGGGUCUCCGAUCUUCAAAAGAGCUGAUUUCAUGCCUGCACUCCAUGAAUCGUUAGAGGAAGAUAGUGAUGUUGAGGACGAGGCAGAGAAUGGCGAUGAGGAAGACGAAAGAUGAAAUUGUGAUGGAAAAUAGUAAAUUAUAUGAUUUUUGAAAAGAAUUUUCCCAUAUUCUUAUUUAUAUGUAAACAUAAAUGAAGAAACAAUAGGUUACAUUCCUCUGAACUAUAAUGGUGAUUGACUAGUGACGAAGAAACUGUUCUUAGCGCUAUUUCGACGUUGUAAGUGCAAGGAGAAACAUUUCAAAUAGAUUGAACAUCCACACACGACGAAUUCAUGUUUUCCAAGAUCGAAAUACUCAUGAGACAUUUUACAUGAUGUUAUCGCUGUCAUUUGUCGUACUAUUAUACACACUCUAAUAUUUGUUAACCCUCAUUAUUUUUUAUAAGGGUGCGCAAAGGGUAAACAUAUGAUUAAGACCAUAAUCGAUUCAAUUUAUAUGUGAAGUAACAUUUGUUUUAAAAGUAUACGUUCAUUUAGUUUGAUUUAUCAUAUUGAUAAUUCUAAUAGAAUUCAUAUUCUAAUGAAAUGUAUUUGUUUUGUCGAUCUCUCCUUCAAAUUGGAAACGUAUUUACUCAAACGAUUACUAACAAUGAUAAUAAGUAAAAUCUUUUUUAGAUUAUAGGUAAAAAUGAUUCAUGAUAUUGAACUAAUAAACACCACAGGGUCAUUGUGUCUGUAAGGAGGGGUUAUCAGAUAAUAAACACCAUGGGGUCAUUGUGUCUGUAAGGAGGGGUUAUCAGAUAAUAAACAGUAGAAGAUUAAGACACGAGUUUAUUUCUCUACUUCAGUGCAAUAUUUAUACUUUUACUUUGUUUGAGCGGGUUGUUUUUUUUUUGACAAUUGUUAGCAGCCCCUAACAAUUUAUAUUGAUUUACAUUGAUCAUGUUGAUUAUAUUAAAAUAUGGAUCACAUUGAUCGUUUGAAUAAUUAACUUUAUUUUAUACUUACUGUGAUGAUGUGCUUUAAAUUUUUAUUUGUUGUUUUUACCAAAAUAUUUGUGUAUUUUUAUAUUUUAUAAAUGUUGAAUAAAACUGAUGGAGAUGCAAA